GUUAGUGACUAAUCUCAUAUGAAAAACUGACAAUUCAUUGACUAAUUGCCUAAUCAUUUUUAGUGAUGCAGAAAUCCGCCGGCAUUAGGACCCAGAAACUCCAGCGGAAGAAGAAACCUCACGCCCAUCAUCAUCAUCAUCACCACCACCAUAUGACCACCACCAUCAUCAGCCUCCUCAGCCUCCUCCGGGAUCCACCGCUAUGAUGCUGCAGCUGCUGAUCCCUCCAUCUGUAAUAAUGUGUUUUAGUGUGAUGGUCGGAGCUCAGUCGGAGGACAGACUGACAGAAAGAGCCUAUGUGGUGCUGCAGAAGCAGAAUUUAGUCACUCUGGGGAGUGUCCUGGCUGUGCUGCUGCUGCUCAUGAUCAUCAUGGCUGUCUGCGUCUACAAACCGCUGGCUCGUCGCUGAAACUGUCCCGAAACCGACACCCACAAAUAUGCCCCGGUGCAAAGAGCCGCCUGCACCGAGGAGCCGAGCCCCGGUACCGGAGCCUCCUGCUGGGGGAAGCAUACCGAGGAGAGCUGAUCUCUGCCACCUAGCUGCCAGGAAGCCUGCACAGUCUCUGUCAGCUGAUUAAUCUGUCAUGAGCUCAGGUUAUUUAAGAGAUUUUGUUGUUUAAAUGUUGUAGGGAAAAGCUUAAAGGUUCUGAAAUACCGAUCCAAUCAUGUGGAGGUGUUGUGUCAAAAAAUGAUUAUCUGCCAAAAAAGAAAAAAAAAGCUGAUUGCAAUCUACUAAAGCAAUUAUACUCACGUCUCUCCGUAAUUUUAUCUUAUAUAUGCGGUAUACCAAUCAGGUCAGUCCUUUUUACCAGUUAAAAUGGCUGCAAAGUACCAGUUAAACUUACAUAGUGCUAGACAAUACUUUCCAUUUCCCAAAAAGUGACUGCAGCACCUACAUUGUGAGUGAAAUGUUAGUGCAUCAAAAUGAUCUGAUCUCAUUCAAUAUUUUCUUUAUCAGUUAAUCUGCUGGUUAUUUUCUAGAUUAAUUCAUCACUUCUUUGGUUUGUAAAAUAUCAGACAAUGGGGGAAAAUGUGAUUUUGAGUUUACUACAGCUCACUAGAACUUCCCUCUAAGUGUAUUUUUGUCCACAGACCAAAGAGAUUCAGUUGACUUUAAUGAAGAAUUAAAAAAAAAAAUAGAAUGUUCCAAUUUGAUAAGCUGACAUCUGAGAAUUGUAUUUUUCUCAAAUAGUUGGUGAUUCAUUUAAUUGUUGACAAACUGAUCAAUUAUUAAUUGCUGUUCUUGUAUAAUCUUAAAUGUCAGGUCUGAUUGUGCCUGACAGCAAAAAAAAAAAAAGUCUUUGGUCUCAAUUAUUCCUUUACAAGAAAUGUUAAGGUUUCACAAGACAAACUUUUACUGUCACCACAGGAACAGUUGUUAUGUUGUCACAGUUUGAUCCAGGUAAAAGCAGCUGUAGAUGUAAAACUGACUGGUAAUCAGUUUUUGGCACAAAACAGUACUAAUUAUAAUAUUAAAUGCCUGUACUCAGUACCCAUCUCUACUCAUGCUUAAAUCAACAAACCAUGACUGUUAAUAUGAGAACCAUUUGUUUUCAUUGAGUCUCUUGCUUGUCAUACAUAUUUGAGCUGUAACAACUUAUUGAGAUUCUUAAUAAAUAUUUGUUCUUGUAUCUUA